rnacentral:rRNA from 1 species
GAUGAACGCUGGCGGCGUGCCUAAUACAUGCAAGUCGAGCGAACAGACGAGGAGCUUGCUCCUCUGACGUUAGCGGCGGACGGGUGAGUAACACGUGGAUAACCUACCUAUAAGACUGGGAUAACUUCGGGAAACCGGAGCUAAUACCGGAUAAUAUAUUGAACCGCAUGGUUCAAUAGUGAAAGACGGUUUUGCUGUCACUUAUAGAUGGAUCCGCGCCGCAUUAGCUAGUUGGUAAGGUAACGGCUUACCAAGGCAACGAUGCGUAGCCGACCUGAGAGGGUGAUCGUCCACACUGGAACUGAGACACGGUCCAGACUCCUACGGGAGGCAGCAGUAGGGAAUCUUCCGCAAUGGGCGAAAGCUUGACGGAGCAACGCCGCGUGAGUGAUGAAGGUCUUCGGAUCGUAAAACUCUGUUAUUAGGGAAGAACAAAUGUGUAAGUAACUAUGCACGUCUUGACGGUACCUAAUCAGAAAGCCACGGCUAACUACGUG